GUAUCCUUCUUUUUUAAGUUUAAUUUGGCUGUUCUCUUUCACGGUGAGUGCUGUUUUGAUGAGUUGUUUGUUCAGGUUAAGUUCUUAAAUGAAAUAAAUAGACAAGAAGAAUGAAAACAAAGAGGUGAGGGUUAAUGAAUUUCUUCCAGCAGAUGAAGCAAUCAAAGCAAUUGAAAAAUCAAUGUAAGUCUUAUUUUAUUGUACAUAAUGAAAACUACUUUUCUGAGGUAAUUUCAAAGCAUUAAGUGAAUAGAAUCCAGUUGGAGCUAUUUCAAUUCCUCUGUGUGCAUUGAUUUCUUUCCAACAUAUUAAGUUGUUCUGUGGGUUUACUGCCUGGGUACAGGGAUCUCUAUGGUUCAUACAUUGUUGAAAGUCUGAGGCACUGACUGAGCCUUGAUGUUGAAAUUGGAACAUAUAUUAUACACACAUAUAUGCAAGACAAAAACUUAUAUAUGCCUGCUUUUAUUUGCAGUAAUUGAUUUCCUCAAUUUUAGUUUUUUGUUCCUAAGAUAAUACUGUACUAUCUCUACAGACUACAUUACAAGAAACAUCAAUGCAAAUUUAACUUUCUAAAUCCUCUGAAAAGUAUAUUGAGCCCUAAUUAGGGCAUAGAGGGGAAGAAACUAUGAUACUUUAGAUCACUAGAUUUUUAUCUCGACAUAAAAUUGAGGAAUAUUUGCACAAUAUAAUUGAGUGGGAAUUUAAAAGAGAAUUUAUGCAACAAAAUCAAAUUGAUGUGUAGGAUAUUUUCUUAUCCUUAUCCUAUGAUUGAGUAAAUUUGUUCUUGGUAUUCUGAUCUGAAGGUUUUUUACUUUUCUCUGAAGUUGUUUUCUUUAUACUUGAUAUUACCACAUCCUUUACCUUUCAACAUUCUAGUGGAUUACACUGUGUCUACUAAAAAAAGGAAGAAGAGAGGAUUGGCCUUCUUCCACCUCUAGUAGUAGUAUCAAUUUUUUUUUGAAUAUCAAAUCUUGGUUUGAUUAUUUUUCUUCUUCCAAAACCACACUUUUUUUUGCUUUCUUUGAUUCUUUCCAGCUACUUUGUUUAUUAAAAUAACAGACCGUAUAUAAUUCUUUUCUUUAAAAAGACGAACAUUUUGUUAAUGUAAAGUUUGAUUAAUCACACAUAAAGAUUAAUUUACUUCAUGAACUCUUAAAAGGGUUUCGCAGAGGUUACAUAGGGAGAUUAGUUUAAUUGGUCACAGUAACUAUUAAAGUUUAUGAGAAUUCAGAAUUCGAGUUUCGUUAUAUAUGGAAUCAGUGAUAUAUGUAAUCUGGUGGUUAUUUAUAAAUUUGUAAAAAGAUAUCUUCCACUAUAAAAAAAAAUCUACUACUUCUCAUUAAUUUGGAUGGUAUCUUUUUACUGGUAGAAAUGUUUAUCUUCCGAUGAGUUUUAUGAAACUAAUUAUUAAUUUUACAAAUGAGUAUUGAUGAUUUCAGAUUUUCAGACGUAUAUUAUCAUUUUUUUUUUAUAAUGGAAAAUAUUUUCUACCUGAUAUAAAAAUGUUUAUUUUUGAAUCACACAAUAAUUUGGAUCGUAUGGUUAUAUGAUUAUAUCGUAUUAUAGAAUAUAUUUGGAAUAAUUUAAGAGAGUGGAAUAAAUGAAAUCAAUAGAAUUAUAGAAUCAAGAAUAAAAGAAUAUAAUAUGAAAAAACAACGGGUAAGCAAUUAUAAAAAAUAACCCACAACGAACUCUGUCUAAAAAUUCUGCAGAGAUGAUGAAGUCGUACCGGAAAAGCCCGAUCGUCGGUCUCCUCCGUUGCGGCGAAGUAGUCAUAUUCGUCUUCAUCUUGGUAUACUUCUUAUCCACCGACUUCAUCUCCACCUCCAACUUGUUCCUCCGCCGCACAGGAUCUCUCUUGAUCUCCACACCAUUCAUUUUCCUCAUCGGAAAUAUCAUCGUCCUCACACUUUUCGCCAAUUCAAAGCAGCAGCAGCAGCAGAAACAGCAACCUCCACAUAAAAAUACCGGAAUCUACGUCGACGAUAUUCAUCGUAUGGGAAGAUCAGUUUCAAUGUCAGUGCAACAUGGAGUUGGAAGAGGAAGAAGGAGGUCUUGCUUCCGCAGAAGCAGAUCGGAUCACUUGAAGCAACUUGAAACCUCGUCGGAGUCCAAAACCAUGGUCGGAGUGAUAAGCAGCUGUCCAACCACACCUACUACCUGUAGUAGUAAGAAGGAAUAUAACUACAGGGAAGAAGAAGACGACGAUGAGAAAUUGAGACGACGAUUUGAGGCGUUCAUUGCCAAGCAGAAAAGGUUUAUCAGAGACGAGGAGUGUUUAUAAUUAAUUAACUAAUAUGAGGUUCUUUCGAAAUUUACCCAUAUUUAUGGCGUGGCAUGGAUGUAAAUAACUGUUAAUUUAGUUUCUUUUCAUAAGGAUUAAGAAUUGUAUUUGUAAUACGUAAGUGUUAAUUAAUUAAUUAGCACAUUAGGUACGAAUGAGCUUUAUUCCUUUUGUAAAAAUCUCUAAUAUUUUGUAACAACCUUUAAGGAAUAAUUCCACAAAUAUAUUCAUCCACCUUGAUAUCAUAGGGUGUCAAGUAAAGCUCGACUCGAUGGGCUCGACUCGGACUCGGUUCGUUAAGCUCGGGGUCAUGAACCCAACGAGCCGAGUCUGAACCUAAAGCUCAAGCUCGUUAAGUUUAACAAGCCGAGCUCGGUGGACUCGUAAAAAGUAUAAAAAAAUAUUAUAUUUAAAAAGAAUGAAGUUGUAGCAUAGAUCGGUAAAAAGUUUGUUUCGCAUGGGAGAGGUCACGGAUUCGAUCUUUCAUGUCUUCAAAUUAUUUAUUUUAACCUGCAGGAUAAGUUCAAACCCGGACUCGUGGGCCCGAGCCUGACAAUUUUUAAAACGAGCCGAGCUCGAGCCCGAGCAUGGAUAACUCCUUAACGAGCCGAGCCCAGUCGAGUCCAAGCCUGAUUCUAUAAGCAAAAGCUUAGCUCAGCUCGUUUGACAUCUUAUAAUCACAUAAUAUAUUAUCGGUUAUAUUAUAGCGAAAAUUUAAUAAAAAUUACGUAUAUAAUGAGAUUUAAAUCAUAAACCCUCAGAAACUUUAAUAGUUACUGUGACCAAUUAAGCUAAUCUUUCAAUGUUUAACUUAAUAUAUAUAUUUAAUGCUUAUGGAAUGGUAUAUUGAAUUGAAAAUGUGAUUAUAUUAGAAAGAGAUUUUGCUUUGUAUGGAUGUAUGGUGUGGGAAGGGAACAGUAGCCUCAGCAGGAAAUAUAACAGACACCCUCAAAAUUCCAGUAGAAGAUCAUCUCCUAGCUAGCAGAGUGUGGUGUUGCCAAACACCAAAAAUGUCAAUUUUGUUGUAGGGACGAAGAUGGAAUAAGUUGCAUACUAUGAACUUGGAGGUGCUAUCGACGAGAAGGGGAGAAAGAGAUGAGAAUGGAUUAUGAGUAAACCCUAGAAAGAUGAAGAAAAGAAGAUGUCGAGUGAAUUUGGAUCCACACUCUACUUCAAAUACAGAGUGAUUCGUAUGAAUUUAGAUCCCCUUUCGGAGGAAAAUCCAUCCUUAUUUAUAGAGAUUUGUAGGGGGUAUUUUGAUAACUUCACUCACACAAAUCAUGGUCUGGGGGCGACUGCAGCCUAGUAACUUAAUAGGAAUCACCUGGAUUGGAAAUAAUUUUAAGAAAGAGUUCACCUUAAGUAAGGUGAGUCUCAAGUCCGUGGAUCAACAGAUCGCAGAUACCUGAAGGCAAGAACAACAGGAUCAAUCCCUUAUCUCAAGACUUAACCUUUCUGAUUGAUGUUGUUAAGCGAUUAGAGGAGGGGCUUGAUUUGGCAAUAAUACAACGGGAGACGUUGCUGGAGAUGGAGCGUGCGG
rnacentral:lncRNA from 1 species